GUUUAAAAUAAAAAAGUGAAAAAAAACCUAGGUGAAAUUAAUUUGAUAACCUAUUUGAUUUAGCCCAAUAUAUCCAAAAUAUUACUUCAACAUGUCAUAAAUAUAAAAAUUAUCAAAGAGCCAGUUGACUUUCUUUAAAAACAAUUGUCUUCAGAAUCAGUGUGUAGCUUAUACUUAGACCACAUUGGAAUUCAAACCUGCUGUCUUGUGAUCAGUCAGCAUCUGUGAGGCUAGGGCCCUGUCCUUGAUGGUGCAGAACCAUAGGUCCCUUCUGGCUCAGGCAUCUGACAGCUGAUUCUUUGCACGGCCAGGACACCUCUGGGAUUCUGAGACCAAGGCAUGCCAGCAUGUGCUGGGAAUCUCAUUCCUUUCUUGUUUUGAUUAACAUCUGUAUUCUUCCAAGAUCAGCUUUUUCUUGGCUCUGGCUUCCUUUCUUUUAGCUGUUAUUGAGGAACUGAGAUUCCCUAGCCUGGAUCAAAGCUAUCUUGCUAACCUGUUUAUUUCUUCAGUUAAAAUGACACAGGAUCUGAAUUUCAGCCAGUGGAUGUCACUGUUUACUCAAGGAGGGUUCUCAGAGGAGACAGUCUAAUUUGGGGACGAAUGCAGAAAAAACAACAGUCUGCCUCCUUUUCCCCCAUUUUAGUGUUUCCCUUUUAACUUGGAAGAGUGACUGAUUUUUGUGAAAGGAACUAAAGUGCUACUUCAUCCAUGCAGUCUAGAGCAUUCAUUGGCUUUAGAAGGCUAAGGUCUAUUUACUAAAGUGCAUCAUACUGAAUUACAAGGCAAUCAACAACAAUGCCAAUUGCAGUUUAAAAAAAAAUCCCCAAAUUGCCCUUUUUAAAAGAGGAAUUAGGAGAUGGAGAUGUAGCUCAGUGAUAGAGCACUUGCCUAGUGUGCACAAGGCCUUGAGUUCCAUUGCCAGCACACACAAAAAGAAAAAGGAAAGAAGAGAAGAAAGAGGUUUUUAUUUCUACAAAGCAGAGGUCACAGUCUACAUCUGAAUCUGGCCCAUAGCUGUGUGACACAAACACAAUUUUUAAAAAAACAAUUGAGCUAACAAUUACUUUGUAGAGGAUUUCAUAUGACCAUUUAGAUUUCUGGCUUCACCUGAAGUACUGGAACAUCUGGAGAUGUUAGACGCACACCCUGCAAAGCCAUGGUUUGGCUGCCUCCUGGUUGCAUUUUGUAAGUUGUCAUGUCUUCACCUCUCCCCACAGGCUCACCACUCCCCACUGCCAGGUCAUCUCAAGCCAGGUCACCUUACCCAUUGAUGUUGGCCCCUAAGCUCUGCUGGCAUUUAUGAUUUUGAUCUGUCUUUCUUGGCACAAAAGCACAUAAACAAGCAUGAACCACUUUGCAGGGAUCUGAAGGAUGGGAUGAUUUGGAAACAAAGACAAUGGGAAGAUUGGUUUGAUAUGAUGUAGCUUCAACUUUAGUUUUGAGCAUGGAGUAUGCUUGGCUCAGGGUAGGACUAGGUAGGUGACUUGUUUCUUGGGUUGCCUAAAAGGUUAUAGAUAUCCCUGGUGGUUAGAAUGUCUCCAAGUACCCAAGGUGUGGGAGGUGGAAGGCAAAUGAGUUAGAAAAGUCAGAUCUUUGAUGCCACAAUUGCACGUGGGGUGAAAAUCAGCCCUAAUGCCCUUACUUGACCUUCACUCCAGUGGGAAGCAUGCUGAGGUUCCUCUUUUAUUUUUAUGUAAGUUGGUAGAUCUCAAACUGACAUGAGGAAGAGAAGCAAAGCGAUGGGAAGCUUGUGAACUGCAAGCUGGGAUGACUCCCAGAAUUCCUGAUUCAAUAGGUCUGGGGCUGGGAUUGGGAAUUCAAGUUUCUAAUAGACCCUCAGAGGACCCUGGUGCAGAUGAUCCUGUGACCACACUUUGAAAUCCUGGCCUAUGAUUUUAAGGCCAAAAUAAGAUAGUUUCAGAGGAAAAGAGGUGUGUGUGUGUGUGUGUGUGUGUUUGUGUGUGUGUGUGUGUGUGUGUGUGUAUAGGCUCUUGAAUUCUGUUCCACAGUAACCUAAUGAUACAAGAGUCAGAAUAUUACCAAAGGCUGGAAAGAAUAAAUUCAUACACAAGUAGCACAAUGGAAGGCACUGCUUGUUUCCUUAUUAAGGUAUAAGAGACACUUCUUAAGAGAAAAGACAAAAUACCCUUGGGUGGCUUCCAGCUUGGUCUGUUACGUGAUGGCAGAUGAGAAGACCAUUUUCUUAGAAGGAAAACAAGACAGCAACCAAGGACUGGCCCUCUGCUACCUCAGACAGGGGCUGGGAGAGGAGCUUCAGGGAAGGGGAACUGACGUUUAUCGAGCACUGAUUGUCUACCAAGAGUUAUAUACUUGCUUACAUAUCUCAUUCAAUCCUCAGAUUAUUUUAGGAGGUAUGUACUAUAUAUAUUUGCAUUUUAUAGUUAAGGGACCCACUCAGAGUUCAGUACUUUCCUACAAUCCCAGAGCUAAUGAGUAAUGGCCAGGAUUUGAGCUGGACUUGUCUGACUCUAUAGUUGGAGCUUGUAACCACUGCUUCUCAAGCCAGAGUAGUUUGAAGUCUAGAAAGCCAUGGGAAAGGAGAAGUAUUUCUUUGUCUGGAAAUUUUGCUACAAAAUGAAAACAAGAAAGCCAUUUCAUGGAUUGUUGUAAAACCUAAAUAAAGUCUGGGCAUCCUUGGAUGCAUCCUUGUUUCAGAUUAUACAUGUUAUUAUACUUCCUCCUUUUAUGCAGUGUCCCUUCUAUGCUUUGCCUUAUACCUCAAAGCAUUCACUGAUUGGCCAUUUCUUGCAUAUCUAUUUUGUACGAUGUGAACAAGUCAGAUGAGGUCCUUGCAGUGUGGUAGCAGGAAUGGGUCUACAGGAUGAUAAACCAGCUACCAGCUCCACAUCACCCAGUGCAAUUCUCCCAGCCCUCAAUCUCUGAGCCUCUCCAGAUAUGAUUUCACUGUCGCUUGCAAUCCUUAUGCUCUUUGGAGCCAAUAGUCUGUCUGUCCUCCUACACACUCUCUUUUAGACAUCAAUAUCCUUAUUUAAGCAGAUCCCAUGUGCUAGAUGUUCUCCCUGUAGAAUCUCUUGCAUCCUCAUGAUUCUGAUCUAAUUCAGGUCAUCACCUCUCAGCUGACUCUCAGCUUUCACAGGGUCCCCAGUCUUUAUCCUUUCAAUACAGUCUCCACAUGGCUGCCAGAUUGAGAGUUCUAGGUGCACUCUGAGCCUGAGAUCACCAGCUCCAGGUUUUGCACAGCUCUCCUGUCCUUAGGCCUGUGCUUUGUCUGCAGGACAGAUGCCCAGGCUGCUGCCCUCUCUGGUGUCAUCUCCUCAGUCUCUAGAAAUCUCCACCUCAUCGUCCUUGUCUGCUCUCUCUCCUGGGUCAGGCCUCCAUGACUUUGCUCAGGACACAGCCUUUGUAGCAUGUGCUGUGCCCAACCUCCUGUGCUAACUAACUUGUCUUUUCCUACCCAGCUUAGGAAGCUGCUUUGGCAUAAAGCCUUUUCUGCUACCCAGUCUGGGUCCUCUGUGCUCCACUUUAUUCUGUAUACAACUUAAGAGCAACCAGGAUGGCCAAUGCACCUAAGAGCCGGAAGCAUGGAGGUGGGCCAGGGAGCUGUGUGGGGCUGAUGGAGGCCUGGGGGGUGGGGUUCAGUAGUCACAAUUGCCACCUCCUUCCUGUACCUGUGAGCACAUGGCUCAGCAGGCAGGGCCUCUGGGUGGUCUUUGGAGCUGCAUGGCUCAGCGGUUUAAAUAGCUGCAGAAGCAGUCAGCAUCUUUAAUUCAAUACCUUUCUCUCUGACAUUUCUGCCCUGAAAUGCCACUUCUACUGAGCCACAAGGAGACACAUAUCCAAGGGGCUUGACCUAUUCAGAAGGCUGGUGAUCAAUCAGAGGAACUCGAGCUGAUCCUGAUUCUGAGCCGGGGACCUCUGGACAGGCAGCAGCAGAUACUGCUACCAGCUGCUAUACAGCUGGUGCCACCCUGUUUUUCUUGCCUGCUUGCUGGCCUUCUUAUUUCUCAACUUCCUCUGCUGUGCAGAAAUAAGUUGUUAAUUAAACUAGGCCCUGAAUUUCCUGAGCCCCUCUAUCCAACUCUUUCUUUCCCACUAGGUGUUGAAACUGUCCCCUGUGGCUCAGCGGAGGGUUUGGUGACAGCACUAUGAAGAGGGUAUAAUGUGGUACACAGCAGGGGCUUCUGAUCUCUCAUCUCUAUUGCUGGUUCCAGGAGCUCUGAGACAGAGCUGAUGGAUUUCUAAGUUUUAGAGGUUUGGGGACAUGUUGGUGUACUUAUCUGAUGAAUGUUUUAGACUUCUGGGCCUGGUAAAAAUGGCCCCAAGGUUCCUUGUAGGAAGCUAGGGAAACUCAUGGGAAACAGCUCCUUCUGUAAAAGGCAUUUUAUCCCCCUCACCGUGAAAGCAGCUUCCUGCUACUUUGUACCAUGUUAACCAACCCAAAGAUAAUAGUUACUGUAGCCGAUCAACUCCCAAUUUCACUCUCCCAUCUCUCAUUAAUUUGAUUUUUUUGCUAACACUGUGACAUGUGAAGCAAUGAUAGGCAAUGAAUUCUUUUCUUUACAGAAGUGGAAACCAAGGCACAUAGGGGUGGAGUGUUAUUUAUGAGAUAAUUGCCUUUUACAUUUGCCAAGUGCUCAGCAAUUUGCAAGGCACUUGCAUUUUGGUGUUUGCAUUUGAUUUUUCUAACAAGACUGAAAGGCACAUAACACAAGUGCAAAUAACAAUAUCUUCAAACAAGAUUAUCAUAUGUUUGUGUAUGCUGAGCUCUAUCCUUUGUGAUAAUGGAAUAUCAUUGAACAAUAACCCUAUUGUAGGUGGCAUUCUCACGAGCCUGUUGUGGAGUUCACUGAAUCUCAGAUAAGUGAAAUAAACAUUAGCUGAGACACACAGAGUCAAUGUCAGAAGUGGGACAAGAACUCAGACCUCCAGGUCUUUGUCAUAAAUCUCUCUCUCUUACUGGCCCAAGUUCAUAUGCCCAGGUCUCUUUUGGAAUCCUCCCUGGUGUGGCCUUAGUCUUUGAUCAUGGGUACAGCCUCCAGCUAUUGCAGCAGGAAGAGCCCCAUUUCUGCUGGCCAGCUGGAGAUGCAGAUUGCUGACCCAGGGCAGGAGACUUUGUGUCCAGUCUUACAUAUGAAGGAUGUAUAGUCUGGACAGACUCCCCAGUGUAACAGUGCAAUGUUCCCACUAAGCAAAUCAGUCUGUCCCAGGAAAUACUUUAGUUUCUUCCCAGAUUUGUUCAUUCCUCAUUUGUUUCCUGGAAUUAAUAAUUUGUUAAGCACUUCAGCCAAUUGUAUUAGACUGACAGUUUUCUUUUUAACUCAGGUUUCCAGACUUCCUGCUGAGACCUCGGAAAUGUUGUAAUAUUAUCCUAAUGACAUAAAUGAGGACUUUGAGAUGAGGAGAAGCUAAAUGAUUCUCUCCAGCCAUACAGGAUGUUAGGUCUGUAAGCUGCAGAGAAGACACUCAAAUCUCAGCCUGGCUGACCCCAAAGUCCUUCAAUUUAUCUUCUAUUAUGUACCAUGGAGAAGGUGUCUGUACAAUGAAGAAAUGCAAGUGGAGAAACAUUAACAGCUGGUGAAGGAGGCCAACUCAGCAAUCAGGCAUUGCCGAAGCAUCCAAUACCCUUGACCUCCCUGGAACAUUAAACCCUCUUGACAGUGAGCAUUUGUGUUGCAAAAUACAGAGAGACACUGGAGAGAAGGCUUUGGCAGGAGAAGCUUGGGGCUAGGUGGAUGAGGAAUUCCUGAGCACCAUCAGGAUUUUUAUUAGUAAUUAUUUUCUGAGGGAGAGAGCCAAGAAAGGAGGCAGGCUGAGAAAGGCCAUGUGGGAAGGCUGGAAAGACAGCAGUAGGAUAUGGUAAUAAUCAGCCUUGGAGGAAAUCACAUUUAUUUGUGUGGACAGAUCUCGAAGGAACUGAGCUCUUUGUAGUCUUAGCUUUACUCCUGUUCACAGUAUAACUUGCUUGGUUUGAAUUUCAUCUCUGUAUUCACUACUGGUGGGAUUCGGAGUAAGUUACAGUUGCUUUUGGUAACUUAAGGGAUUGGUUCCAGGAUCUUAGUGGAUACCCAAGACUGUCAAUGCUCAAGUCCCUCAAAUGGCAUAGAUUUGCAUAUAAGCUAUGCACAUCCUCCUAUAUACUUUACAUUGUCUGUAUGUGACCUAGAAUUCCAAAUACAGUCUAAAGGCUAGAGAUCAGUUGUCACAUUAUAAUAUUUAGGAAAUAAUGACAAGAAAAAUAUUCCUUGCAUGUUCAAUACAGAUGAAAUUAAAAAAUACUUUCAAUCCAUAGCUUGUUGUAUUUGUGGUUGGUUGAAUUUAAGAAUGUGAAAAUCAAGUAUGUGGAUGGCUGACUCGAUCUAAUCCUUCUGGACUUUGGUUUUGACCUCUGAAGUGAGGCUUAUGAGAACUGUGGGAGUUUAAAGAUAAUGCAUAUGAAAUAUUUGCAAAAGUAGCUCACCUGGCAAGGAGUGACCAUAACUAAGUGAAAUGUAGCUAUUAUAAUUUUGGGGAGAAUAUACUAGUGGUAGUGACAUUAGGCAGUGUAACAUUAGUUGCUAGAACAAAGAAAUCCUAGUUUCAGUUCCACAAAACAGUGGAAAUCUGUUUCUUGCUCAUGCAACAGUCCAAUGUGCAAUGAGAGGUAUAAGGGUGGUUUUUGGCAUAUGUUGCCUCAGAGACCCGUGUCCUUCCCAUCUGUUCUACCAUUGCUGGGAUCUCAGAGCCCACAGCCAGCAGAUGGAAAAGAAUAGAGAAGUUUUCACCAUUUCCUGAAAGUUCUGGCUAGAUAUGAUCUGUGGCCUUUCUGUCGAAUAGAUGGAGACCUGUUGUGUGAUCACCCUAGGAGAUGAAUCUGGGGUGGGUGGCGAGGUGGGAAGGCAUAGUGAUGACUGAAUGGGCACUCCCUCCUAGGAAUAACUGCAAACAUGGCUAAAGGAGGGGCACGCAUUUUGGUGGACAGCUAGCUGGCUCUGCUCCAGUGGUAUCAGAUGAGUGACAGUUUUAUUUGGAACAGAUGCUUUGGGACAGAGCUCAUGCUAGCCAGGCUGUUUCUCUGAAUGGGUGGGUGGGAUAAUUGAUUGCUAAUCAAUUACAUAAAGGCUGGCUGCUUAGAGUGUGCUCCAUGGCCCAACUGUACCCACACUACUUAGGAGCUUGUUGGAUGUGCCAUGUUUCAGGCCCUAUCUUUGGGCUGAGUUAUGCUUGGAAUUUUGCAUUGUUUCUAACAACCUUUCACACUAUGCAGAUGUUUCAAACCAUACUUUGAGCAGCAGGCAUGCAAAGAAUACUGAUUUCAGAAAUUCAGCUUCUCCCUGGAAGAAAGCAGAUUUUUCAGUGGCUAUGUGGAAGGGAGCAUGGGGCUUUCACUUUCCCCUCCUGGAGCUCAUUGUCUUCUACUUUGCAAGGGUGGGUGGCAUUUCAGCCCAAAGAGAAUUAAGUAAGUUUCCAAGCUCUUGUUUGAUCAGGGGAAGGAAGAAAUCCAGAGAACACCCUGGGAAGGCUCCCUGUUGUGUAUUUACUGACAGCAGCUGGUGGAGCAGAAAGACAUUUGUGCUUUUCAGGUGUGUAGUGAGAAUCCAUCUCUGGUGGACACACAUCUCUGUCCAGGUGAGAUGGACUUGGAAGGGUUUGCAGUGAGCCGAAUUGGUUAAUGAAGCCUGUGCUAGAGUGUCACAAGUACUCACCUUCUUCCCUUUUCUCACCUGCCUCCCCCCACGACUCUCUAUUCUUUUGGAAAAAUUUAUUAACCUACAGUGACACUUUUCAAUGGUGACAACUCUAACUAAAAGUAGACUGGUGUUUCCUACUUUUCACAGACAAUUCCCUCACCUCCCUAAGAAUCAGACACAUUUGAGAAGAAAAAGAUAUUGCCUUCACUUUGGAACAAUGCCCUGCAUGUAAAAGCUGCCUAGAAGUGAUAUUCCAGCCUGUGUUUUAAGCUGAUCUGUAAGACUUCUCAAAAGUUAAAAGGUGGAGCUUGGGGAGGGACAUGGCAUAUUCAUUGCAUACUAUGCCCCAUGCACUGGAGUUGCCACCUGCCCCUCAGUAAUCUUCAAAACCACCUGCAGUUAGGGGAAGGGAACUGAUAGGAGCCAAUACUCACUAGGCACUCUGCUUUGUGUUGAGUACUAUCCCACUGACCAUCUAAUUGAAUGUAUUUACAACCCUGAGGAUUAGAAAUUAUUGUGAGUGAGUGUGUGUGUGUGUGUGUGUGUUACUGCUUUAUACAUGAAGAAGGUGAGAGUUGGGAGAAGUUGAAGAAGUAAACUACAGAAGUUUAAAUCCAAGCCUAAGAACACAGACACAUUUUUCCAACUUUUGCCCAUGAGAACCAAGCACUGGACAGUUAGAAGGGUGGACUGCUCUCCUACAGUUCAUAGGUCCAUGAGCCUUCUUAGUGUGAUGGUGAAGGAAAGUCCAGUAUCACAGGAAAGAGUGUGGACUCUGAGUUAAUCCACUGUUGCAUAAAUUCUGCCUCAAUCGGGAGUUCAGAGCCUCAGUUUUUUCAACUGUCAAAGAGGGUUCAUGAUACUAAUGGUGUCUUGAUAAUAAUAGAAAUAAUAAGACACCGAUGUAAAAGUUUUAGUAUAGUUCCAAUACAAAAUAACUGCCUGGUGCAUGUUAGUUUCACUAAUAAUGUUAAUAUUAGUCAAAGCCCAUUUGGUUGGAGGGAUGGACAUCACUCAACUCAGAUCAUGGUUAUUGUAAAGGUGUAAAGAACAGCCGGGGUGGAAGCUCAGAUAUCAAGACCUCUUUCACCCAGUGAUAAAUGUAAAUGUAUUGUAUACCUAAAAUGUACCAAUAAAAGAAUUUAAGCAAAAAAAAAAAAAGAAACUAAACAGCAACAAAAACUCUUAUGUUGAUUAUGCAUAUUUUUAGUUCAUAAAAUACUGAUCCUUUUUAAUUGGAUGUCUACUGCCUCAGCAAAUGUCAAAAUACAAUAAUAUAAGAAAAACAUGCUCGUCAUCUUUUGGAGUAACAUGGGAUGCAUAAGUAAAUAAAAUAUUAGACUAUUAAAAAAAGACCUCUUUCUUCACUCCCUAGGCAUCAUAUGUCACCCUCAUAUCUGCUUCUCCUAUUGGACCUGGGUCACCCUGCUCUGGACCAGUGAAUUCUGUGUACUUCCCUGCCUCCAUACAUAGGAAGGUCACCUAAAGCCUGAGCUUGCAUGACACUGUGACAGUAAAGUUUAAUUGCCAACUGGAUUGACUUGGGAGCACCUAGGGGAUUAGUGAAGCACUUUUUUCAUGUGUCUAGGAGGGUCAUGGUGUGACCUUGGGUACCUGACUCCUUCCUCUCUGGUGCUAUUCUGCUUCCUGGUCAUCAUGGACUGACCAUCUUUGCUCCUCCAUACCCUUCCAUCAUGAUGUUUCUGUCUUGGACCCACCUACCAUGAACUGAAUUCCCUGUAACUGAGCCAAAUUAAGCCCCUUCUCCUUUAACUUAUGGUUGUUGUGUCCCAGUGCUAGGAAAGCAGACUAAUACAACAUUUUAGUCUUGGGUAUCUGUGGAUGAUUACUUAUAGAUUCCUGGGACUUACCUUAAAAUGAAUGAGAAAGCAUCUGGUUAGUUGAAGGCCAACCACUGGAUUGACCUUUUUGGUCUGGGGCUUGUUGUCUAGGCUGAAAGGAAGAAGGUUUUCCUGUCUGCUCUGGGGACCAGCUCUCUAUGAAGCACUAAGAAUGAGAAAAUCAAUAAAGUAUCUAGAACAAGGAUAUAGAUUAUUUUUUUCAAUCUACUCCUGAGUUUCCUGUUUCUGUCUGCCUGCCCUUCAACCUGUUCUUCAACUGGGCACAAGUAAUUAAUUGGUUUAUUGAGGAAUAAGAAUUUAUGAUAGUAUUUGAGGUGAUGAAAACCAAUUUCCCAGAAAUGGUAAGUUAGUACAAACAAGCAGAUGUAUGUGAACCUCUUACUGAAAGAGCUGUCCUGUGUUUUAAGCCUUAAGCAACUGGUAUGGUUUAUAUCUGGAUGUCCCCCCUCAAGGGCUCAUGUGUUCAUAGGUGGGGCUUUUGAGGGGUGAUUGACUCAUAGGAUGUGAUAGCUAAAUGUGAUGUUAGGAGCUGGGCCUAGUCUCAAGAGGCAGGUCACUAGGGUAAGACCUGGAAGGGUGUAUCUCCCUUUCUGCCUCCUGCCUUAUCUCUCUACUUUCUGGCCACCAUGAGGUGAGCAGCUUUCCUCCUCACCACACCAUUCCCCUAUGCUGCUUCAGUUCAACCAACUAUGGACUAAAACCUCUGAGCCAAAAUCAAACCUCUCUUCCUUCAAGUUGUGACAGGCAAGUGGCUAAGACAGCAGCCUCUUGGGGACUUUUGACUCUGUACAUUGUCUAGGUAGACUGAUAGGUAUUUCUUUGUGUUUGUCUGUCUCUUAUGCCUUUAGACAUAAUUGCUGUUAUUUUUCAUUAAAGGAGAAUUUUCUUGGAGAAAAUUACUUUCUCAACCUUUUGCCUUUUUCAUGUCCUGAAAGUUAUUGAGGAAUUCCAGAGUCAGGACCUUGUCUUUCUGUUUUAGGGUUGGAAACUCCAAAAUUCAGGGCUCACUGAUUAAGAAACCUCUUUUUUUUUGUACUGGGGAUCAAACUCAGGAACUUUUGCUUGCGAGGCAGGUGCUGGAACCACUGAGCUAAAUCCCUGGCCCAAGAAACCUCUUUACCAAUCAUGUGGCUAAUUCUGGAUCUUAAACUGAGAUCUCUAUUUCCUUCUGUAUCUAC
rnacentral:lncRNA from 1 species